rnacentral:rRNA from 1 species
CCUACGGGCGGCAGCAGUGGGGAAUAUUGCACAAUGGGCGCAAGCCUGAUGCAGCCAUGCCGCGUGUGUGAAGAAGGCCUUCGGGUUGUAGAGCACUUUCAGCGGGGAGGAAGGCGGUGAGGUUAAUAACCUCAUCGAUUGACGUUACCCGCAGAAGAAGCACCGGCUAACUCCGUGCCAGCAGCCGCGGUAAUACGGAGGGUGCAAGCGUUAAUCGGAAUUACUGGGCGUAAAGCGCACGCAGGCGGUCUGUCAAGUCGGAUGUGAAAUCCCCGGGCUCAACCUGGGAACUGCAUUCGAAACUGGCAGGCUAGAGUCUUGUAGAGGGGGGUAGAAUUCCAGGUGUAGCGGUGAAAUGCGUAGAGAUCUGGAGGAAUACCGGUGGCGAAGGCGGCCCCCUGGACAAAGACUGACGCUCAGGUGCGAAAGCGUGGGGAGCAAACAGGAUUAGAUACCCCAGUAGUC